rnacentral:rRNA from 1 species
UACGGAGGGUGCAAGCGUUAUCCGGAUUCACUGGGUUUAAAGGGUGCGUAGGUGGGUUGGUAAGUCAGUGGUGAAAUCUCCAGGCUUAACUUGGAAACUGCCAUUGAUACUAUCAAUCUUGAAUACCGUGGAGGUCAGCGGAAUAUGUCAUGUAGCGGUGAAAUGCUUAGAUAUGACAUAGAACACCAAUUGCGAAGGCAGCUGGCUACACGAAUAUUGACACUGAUGCACGAAAGCGUGGGGAUCAAGCAGG